AUUUAUAGAGACAAUGGGUUUAAUUGUAUCAAGACGCAAAUUCAAAGAAGAUGAGCUAGUAAAGGUGAAUGUAGAUGUGGAUAUGUUAAAGAUGAUGCAAAAAGGCCAUGGAGGUUGGGAUCCCCGGAUGGAAGAUCUUAUAGGGCAAGUUGGUUCUGUCCAUGGAAUCUACCCUUCUGGUGAUGUAGUUGUGGAAUAUAGAGAGAUUAGAGCGUAUUUGACCUUUAAUCCUGACGCUUUAACAAAGGUCAAUCAGUGAGGCCUCUUAGAUUAAUCUGUUUGCUAUCGUUGAACCAGUUAAAACCAUCUGAACACAUCUAAACCUUGACAAUAGUACGAUCACAUCUCUACCUGUGUCGAGGAUAUAAAACAUUUCUUUCACUCUCUUCUACCUUUCUCUCUCUAACCCUCUUUUUCUGACUCUCUCCCUCUCUAAAGUGUGAUAUUGUACCGAGGAUAUACAUAUAUAUAUAUAUAUAUAUAUAUAUCAAAUGUCUCUCUCGUCGAAGACGGUGUAUGAGUUUUCAGCUUUAGCACAGAUAAUUUGUUUAUAGUGAUCAAAUGCAUGCGCUGUGCAUGAGCUCACUCCCUCCACCAAAUCCACAUUACCUGUACAGGUGCACAAGUGUGCCACACGUCAGAUGUUGAAAUGAUCCCAAAGCACCGUGAAAUAAAGUGUUUUGCUCCAGAACACAAGUGGUCGCUCGGUCCGAAAAUCGAAAUCCUGAUCUAGCGAUCGUGAGUGCAACAUCCACUGGGUGUUUCCCUAUCUCCUCUCUCUUACGAGUCUUCAUCCUCAGAAACUGCAUUUCUAACUCUUAUUAGCUCUCCACUCAUUCUAUAGCAAUGGUGCUGACAUAGAAACCGAAUAAUUCGCUUGACACAAUUCUCUGCAUUCAUUAAUCACAACCCUUAACGUCUUAACAUACACAUUUUCUUUUUUCAAAUUCCAUGCAAAAAACAUAUCAUUUAUUUUGAAUCUGUAUAUAAGGAUGAAUAAGUACACAAAAUAUUUUCGAUCAGUUAUGAUUUAUUAUGAAGUUACUGAUAAAAAAAACGAUAGUUAAUGAUAGAAAAUGGGAAUACCAUCAAAAACUAAGUAUUUUGGGUUAGAAAUGUGUGACAGAUAGCUCAGAGUACAGUGAACGUGCAUCUUCGUUCAAGUAUUUAUUUACUAGAUAUCUCUGAACAAAAAUAUACGGGAUAAAAUGUUAAGAGGUUAAACACAACCCUUGCCAAUAUACUUGAUCUCAUUCCCUUCAAAUUUAACACCUACUAAAUCAUCCCCAUUCAUCUGCUUACCGGGUUCAACAGCUACUGCCUCAUUGUGACUAAUCAACACACAUCUCUAUUCUAUUCAACUCAUUUCGCCUAUGAUCUGUGACCCUGUCACACUUUUAAUCAGAUGACGGUUGCACAUUUUUCAUCUCCACAAUGCUUUGUGACAAUCAUACACGCAUAUAAACUGGAUGGCUUUUCCGUAGCACUGCAGCCUGCAUAUUAUACCAUCGCCUGAAAACCAAAGGAUACAUGCCUCCAUUAUACUAACUGCUGCUCAAAUUUAGCCAUCCUUUUAUUCUUGUAAUAAAAAUAUCCUUACCACCUUUGCCGAAUCUUUUCCACCACUUCGCAAGUAUGAGGUGUUUGUAAACAGUAACCUGACAGAAAUCUAUAUUUGUUGUUUAUCCAGACUGUGAAUAUUCAAAUGGAAACUACGCUCACUUUACCAGAUGAUGAUUGGAAACGAACAAAUGUACAAACAUAAUAAUAAUUUCAAUAAAUAGUAAAUUCAUUCACAA